GAUGAAGAACGCAGCGAAAUGCGAUAAGUAAUGUGAAUUGCAGAAUUCCGUGAAUCAUCGAAUCUUUGAACGCAAAUUGCACUCUCUGGCAUCCCGGAGAGUAUGCCUGUUUGAGGGUCAGUAUUAAUAAAAAUCGGUGCGUUGCGCUUUGUGACGUUCCGGAGUUUGAGUUAUCUUAACUUUUUUUAGGUUAAGAGGCUUAAAAUUGACCUUUUUUUGUGCAUUUUAGACGUACAUAAAUUUUCUUUUAUUUGUCUAUUAAUGCCAAAAUAUAUUAGAUGCGACCAUAUCGUGUGGUUCCGUAUCUAUAAAUUUUUCAUGAUUUGACCUCAAAUCAGGUAGGAGUACCCGCUGAACUUAAGCAUAUCAAUAAGCGGAGGA
rnacentral:misc_RNA from 1 species